ensembl:rRNA 5S_rRNA 5S ribosomal RNA
GCUUACGGCCAUACCAACCUGGCUAUGCCCGAUCUCGUCUGAUCUCGGAAGCUAAGCAGGUUUGGGCCUGGUUAGUACUUGGAUGAGAGACCGCCUGGGAAUACCAGGUGCUGUAAGCU